rnacentral:rRNA from 1 species
AUUGAACGCUGGCGGCAGGCCUAACACAUGCAAGUCGAACGAGUGGCGGACGGGUGAGUAAUGUCUGGGAAACUGCCCGCUGGAGGGGGAUAACUACUGGAAACGGUAGCUAAUAACGCAUACCAUCGGAUGUGCCCAGAUGGGAUUAGCUUGUAGGUGAGGUAACGGUUCACCUAGUCGACGAUCCCUAGCUGGUCUGCGAGGAUGACCAGCCACACGGGAACUGAGACACGGUCCAGACUCCUACGGAGGGCAGAAUGGGGGAAUAUUGCACAAUGGGCGCAAGCCGGAUGAAGCCAGGCCGCGGGUAUGAAGAAGGCCUUCGGUUUGUAAAGUACGUUCAGCGAGGAGGCGGUACCCGCAGAAGAAGCACCGGCUAACUCCGUGCCAGCCGCCGCGGUAAUAC